UCCAGUUUGACUGAAAACAGAUAAUUGACAAAAUCUCUUUUCCUCAAUGUCUCUUGAAUUUAUAAAGAUUUGGGUUAAUGUUUGUAAAACCAACAUAUAAAACUCGAAAUCUAUGAUUCGUAAGGUACUAAUCUUCUUUCAAAUUUUCAAAUUUUAUGCACGUAAGUUCCUCCAGUGAAUGUAGUCAUCGUUGCAAGAUGUCACUAAGUAAAACAGUGCAACUAUAUGACUGUUCCCUGUGGGAACCAGCAGCACUUUUGCUCUAGCAAGCCGAAGUCCUAAUUACAUAGCGCCUAGUAUCUGUUCUGAGUCACAGCAUUUCACCAAGAUAGCUAAUUGGUCUCUUAAUUAUUAAGAUGUUUCAUUGUUGUCAUGGUAACAUAUUUAUCUUCCUUUGUUCUGCAAUAACAAAGGAAUUAAUGACUGUGAUAAUGAAGUACAAGGAUGUCAGGCAACCAGGUUGUGAAAAUGCCGCAAAGCUACUAAUGUGUGCAAAGCCACUAAUGUGUGCAAAGCCAGGUACUUUAACCUCUAUUGGUUCUUACCCAUAGCACUCCUGUAACAGACAUGCCUUCCAUAACUUAGAACAAAUACAUUUUGAGUGACCGUAAAUCUGUAUUUAUAUCUCUAAUAUAAUAUUGUGGAAUAGUGAUAGUAUGAAGCUGAUUUCUAACUCAGUAAGACUACCAUAUGUAUGACAAAAGGGAAGGGUAGGAUGCUAAUUUAUGAUAUGACUUGAGAUUUAUGAGGUUUGGCUCUAGUCUAGCUUUCCUAGAUGACAUUAGACCAAUUUUUUGGACCAAAUCCAGGAAUGGACAUCAGCACUUGCGGUAUUUAAACAGAACAGAGGCUGCUGUCUCCUCCUUGCAAUCACUAAAGUUAACAGACCUGCUUGUUUUUCUUUAACCUUAGCAUUCCCAAGAAUCUCACUUUUGCUUUUGUGCCUCUUGGGAGCUGACUUACUUGACAAAUUCCUCUCUCCCCUAAUGCUAAAGAGCAAAAAGCAUGUCCUUUGAAAAUAGAGGUGAGAAUUUGAAGAAAGGAACAUCAUAGAAGUGAUAAACUAUAGUAGGGUACUGGGAAGAGUAUUUCUCAAUAACACAGAGCAGAAAUGUUUGUAAAUGAACACCACUGGUGCAGGACUUCUUAUAUUGUAGUUUACUGGUUUAUUGGUAUCAAGGACUAAAGAGCUUGUUGGUUUUUUUUAACAAGCAAGUCUUUUCAUAUUACCAGGAACUAUAAAUGAUAUAGUUCUAACUAAUCAGAAAUAUGUAAUUUCCCUACACUAACAUGUCUCCCAGUUAAAUAUGCAGUCUAUAAAAAAUCAACAGGCAUGUUUUAUUAUUGCUCUGAAUGGCUUCUUAAAAUCAUUAUGCUUCAAUUACAAUGACUUAAUAUGAUUCCAUUUCUUUUACUAAAAUCUGAUGGCUGCAUGAACCUCACAGAACUGGCCACAACCCUUUUGUUUUCCCCAGCUCAGGUGAGAUCAGCGUAGAGGAGACAAUCCAGACAGCAAAUAUUUCUCUUAGAUUCUUUGUCAAUGCAAUACAUUUAGGAGCUGGUGAAUUUGGAUCACUCAGGACUCCUGAGCAUAACAAAGCAGUGCUGCACUGAAGAUAAUGCAAGAGAAAGUUAUGCUACGUCUGUAUCUGCUACUGGAUCCCCAUUUUUGGAGGUCCUCAAUGAAGGACACCAGAGUCAGGUUUUAGAAGGUCUGUGGUCCAACACUCUGCAACACUAUGCAGGAGUAAUCCAGAAAGCUGGCCUAAAUGACCAGCCUUCAUCUCACACAUUAUGUUGUUGGCAGCAAUAAUUAAUAUGGGUUAAGACUCCCUUAAGGCAGGCAAAGCUAUAGAAAAAAUACAUUUACAAAUACAGAAAGGACCAUAUCUGGGUAAUUUUAAAGACACUUCUUAUUCUAAAUAUGUUUUGGAGCAAGGGUGUAGAGUUUUUCAGCAAACUGUAAAAGAAAGUAAUGUGUCCAACCACUCUGCUAUUACUUGGCUAAGGUGGGACAAUAAGGAUUACUCAAAGCAAACGAACUGUCCCUCACAGGAGAGAUUUAACCCUGAUAAUCUGGAAAGGAUAAAAAGACAAAGCUGCCUUACAAAGUUACCAACAUAUGCAGAAAGAGCAGGAUUGAUGGCAGGUUUUAAUUUCUUAAAACUGUCCUUUGCUUCACGGAUAUUUAAUAUGCAUUUAGAUCCCAGUCCAAAUCGCUCUAGAGGUCCUUGGGAAUAUUUUCAUAGCCUGAAGUAGCUCUGGAUCAUGUCCCUGGAACUUCUAACUUCCCCUAUAGUACCACAGGGACUAUUCAAGUCCAUUCGCCAGUCAGCUAUUUCUUCUGUUUGCUCAGAAAGUCAGUCAGUCUGAUUACCUACAGAUUUACCUAUUGGUACACGAUGGAUAAAACUCUUCCAAUUAAUAUCCUAUUAGGAAAUGGCAAGUUGUGUAAUAUCCUUGUCAUGCCAAGCUCUGUAAGUUUUGGUCUCUCUUUGUUUAGUGUAAGAGUUACAAUUUCAAAGUUGUCCUCCCAGUGUUUUGGAAAUGUUCCUCAGAGUGCCUUGGAUACUGUGCUCUCUCCCUUAGCAGAUGGAUACAGUAGCUGGAGCUAGGGAUAGCCGGGGCAAUGUGGCUUAAAGCCAGCUCUACAGUCUCGUAAUUCAGGAGAUGGUUCAGCUGUGGAAAUCAGUUAGACCUCCCCUGGCUGGAGUGCUGUUGUUUCUGGGAGCCUCCUGUGGUUGCCUGUUGGCUGUUCCACAUUGUUGGAAUAGCUGGGAAAAGCACUUCAGCACUCACCACCACAAUGAGCACAGUGAGCUGGCAAAAUGAUGUCUUAGGGACUCACAGAAGGCCAUUGUAUGUGCCCACUAAAUGUAAAGCACAUCUUCUCCAGUCUUGUGCCUCCAACAAUUAUUGUGAAUGUGAGCCUUUUGCUGUUUUUUUUCCUUUGGUAGCAUAUGUUCAUUUAUCAAAUGGUUUAUUGAGGGAAAGCUGCUUCCUAUACAGUGUUUGUAUUCUAACAUGGCAUUGUGCAAUACUUAAGGUCUCGUUUAGCCUUCAUUUUCCCCUUCUUUGUUCACAAAACAUUUGCGCUUUUUUGUUUAUGUAGAAAGUGAUCUUUGCAGUUCACUGUUUGUUUUGAAUGCAUGAAAUUUGCUGACAGUAUUUGAAGAAAAUACCACUUGAAACUAUACGUCACUGCACGUCUUCACUACUUUUCAGUAUAGAGCAGUACCUAAGACAAAAUAAAACUUCUUGUCCUCCACUUCAAUACAAAAGAAAUUAUUUCAAGAAUAUUACAUGCUUGCCACUUAUUUAAAUAUCUAUAUAGAAACUGUACUGCUCUAAGAUCAGUCCAUAAGAGUCUACAUUCUUAGACUGGGAUUAUAAGUGGCAAACUACUCCUUAAAAAAAAUGUGUCAUCAACAGUUCUGUCAUUUAUUUAGUGGAGAGGGAAACUUUCAUCUGCAAAAGCAACUGCUGCAUCUGUAAAAAUAUCUCCAAAAAGCUAGACUUGCAGUACUUUAAAAAAUAACACCGAAACAGAUUUUCCUAAACACAAAACCUAAAAUGGAAAUGCUCAAAGCAGCAACAUAUAUAUUUACAAAGUAAUAGAAGAUGUAGAUUUGAUCUUCAUAUGUUAAAAUAAUGAUGCAACUGAAGAUACACUGUAUGUUUCACAAUAUUCUGUUCAAAGGACACUGAGGCUUUGCCUUCACAUGUCUGCUGUUUCACCCAUCACUGCUAAGAAGUCAGUGAAUAAUCCAGGAUCCUGGAAAUUUUCAGCAAAGCAUUUUGGCUCUACCUGUUCCCAGGAAACGUGCUAUGAACACGAAUGCCCCUGACUCACCUUGAUGAUGACGUGGGCUCAGUGAUCUGCCUCUGCAUGCGUGCAUGUCUGAUCAGAUGCUCUUUCAGCGCGUUCUGGACCUCUGCUGUGGUCUCAAAAACCUCCGUAGGAGCACUGGAGUUGCUCUGGGCGGCAUUACUGGCAUUAGAAGUGAGAGGUUUGCUUCUCCAGCAGGGCCAACACAACUUCCAAAAGACAAAAAGUGAGACUACCAGCAAGGCAAGCCCACAGAAGCUGACGACUACUGCUAACAGACUGACUGAGAUGUCUGCAAGGAAUUAGAAACAAAGAUCAUCAUGACAGACAAACUUGGAGAGAAAAAAAACAUAAUUAAAAAUGACACAGCUCCAGGCCGCUAAACUGAACCCGCGGAAAAGUGCAACAAGAGUUUGAGCAUAUUGAGUAGUUGAGAGUCACAGGAAGAAAAAUAGUCCUCUAGGUACGUACUACCUCCAUGGAACAGUACGUACUUCACAGGUCCUUCUGAGAGAUAAAGAUUCCAGUGGAAAAUUUGGGAACAUUUUCUGUAUUAAUAUAUAACGUCCAGGUACAUCUCUCAGUAACCAACACUGAACUUAAGGCCCAUUCAACAUGAGAAUGUGUGAGAAUAGCAAAAGCAAACAGAAAAUGUUUGUAGUCUGUUGACUUGAAAGAUUACUGUUCUGCUCAACCUUACUUCAUAGAUGUCCUGGACAGCAUCAUGGGAGAAAUGGCAGAGGAUGUGCCGCUUGAUUUAAAGAGUCUGGUGCAAGCUGCUGCCCUUCCCUGAGCAGGAGGCUGCCUCCUUGACUGUUUCCUGCCAGUUCUCAGAAAGGUGUCCGCCAUCUGUCUGUAGUUAAAUGUCAAAAGGUAGCCUUUGGAAUAUGCAUGUCAGCUUAAUGAGAAAUUCAUAUGGCAAAUUCUGAUUUAAGAUGCUUCCAUAAAAUGAAUGGAUGCAUAAUUAUACCUAAUAAUGAUGUAACACAGGAAGCAAAUGAUACUUUUGCAUAUGAUUUUUCUAGAUAAUUUAUCCCCAGUAGGGAUUAUUAGGCUAUUUGGUUUAAUCUACUGUUUACCCCCGUAUCCUUCCUGAGCCCUGUAAUUUCUGCUUGGCUUGCAGCAGACUGUCCUAUCUUGACAACAAGAGAAACAUGAAGAGAUGCUGAGUUUACAGCUUGUUUCAAUGGUUAAUCACUUUGUCGUAAAUUUGUAUUUCUGAUUUGUACUUCUGUAGUUCUAAUUUACAGUCUUUGCUUCUUUUGUGUUUUUGAGAAACAAAGAUAUAAUAUGCUUCAUAAAACAUGCCUAUACAAAAUGCAAAUAAAAUAAAUUGUGCCAGGAAACAAACCCAGGACUUGAAAUUCAAUUGCCUGAAGAGUUUUAAACCCUGAAAGAGUUUUAAACUGGGCCAGUUUAUACGGUCCCAGCCAAUUUCUGGGCAUGGAUCAAGAAUAAGAGUAGGCCAAUGACCAUUCUUAAGAGGUGAUUUGGAUGUGGCCCUUCUGUUUCAGCAGAUGACAGACUUUAAAAGUAUGGAGAGAGGUUCUUACAUGUGAGUUGGCCUAAGUGCCAAAGAAUGGCCUGUGGUGGGUUGACCCUGGUUGACCCAGAUGCCCAACAAAGCUGCUCUUUCACCCUCCCUCCUCAGCUGGGCAGGGGAGAGAAAAUAUAACAAAAGGCAGAUGCAUUGAGAUGAGGACAGAGAGAGAUCAUUCACUAAUUACUGUCAUGGGCAAGACAGACCUGACUUGGGGAAAAAUUACCAAUCAAUCCAAGUUGGAUAAUGAGAAACAAAACUAAAUCUUUAAAACACCUUCCCUCCACCCCUCCCUUCUUCCUGGGCUCAACUUCAUUCCCAAUUUCUCUACUCUCCCCACUCUUGCAGCAGUGCAGGGGUUGGGGAACAGGAGUUGCAGUCAGUUCAUCACACAUUGUUUUGGCCACUCCUUCCUCCUUAGGAGAAGACUCCUCACACUCUGCCCCUGCUCUAGCAUGGGGUUCCUCCUACAGGAGACAGUUCUCCACAAACUUCUCCAACCUGAGUCAUUU